UACGGAGGGGGCAAGCGUUGUUCGGAUUUAUUGGGCGUAAAGAGCUCGUAGGCGGUUUAGCAAGUCGGGUGUGAAAACUCCGGGCUCAACUCGGAGAGGCCACUCGAUACUGCUAUGACUCGAGUCCGGUAGGGGAGUGCGGAAUUCCUGGUGUAGCGGUGAAAUGCGCAGAUAUCAGGAGGUACACCGGUGGCGAAGGCGGCACUCUGGGCCGGUACUGACGCUGAGGAGCGAAAGCGAGGGGAGCGAACCGG
rnacentral:misc_RNA from 1 species